CGAAGGAUUGUCGGUAUUCAUCCGACCGUAAGAAGUCUUUUACUUGUCUCAAGAUAUUGAAGAAAGGCAAACAUCUUUCUACCGAUCUUGAGAUAAAUCAACUAAGUGCGGUGAUCCUUCCAUUUAGUUGUUGUAUCCCUUUCUUGGAGCUUGGGUGCUUCAUAUUAAUGAUAGCCUUUAUUUUUUUGAGAUUGACUUC
rnacentral:lncRNA from 1 species